GCCUACGGGAGGCAGCAGUGGGGAAUUUUGCGCAAUGGGCGAAAGCCUGACGCAGCAACGCCGCGUGUGUGAUGAAGGUCUUCGGAUUGUAAAGCACUUUCGACCGGGACGAAAACCCGUUUCCUAACACGAAACGGCUUGACGGUACCGGGAGAAGAAGCAC
rnacentral:rRNA from 1 species